rnacentral:rRNA from 1 species
AACGAACGCUGGCGGCAUGCCUAACACAUGCAAGUCAAACGAGAUCUUCGGGUCUAGUGGCGCACGGGUGCGUAACGCGUGGGAAUCUGCCCUUUGGUUCGGAAUAACAGUUGGAAACGACUGCUAAUACCGGAUGAUGACGAAAGUCCAAAGAUUUAUCGCCAGAGGAUGAGCCCGCGUAGGAUUAGCUAGUUGGUGUGGUAAAGGCGCACCAAGGCGACGAUCCUUAGCUGGUCUGAGAGGAUGAUCAGCCACACUGGGACUGAGACACGGCCCAGACUCCUACGGGAGGCAGCAGUGGGGAAUAUUGGACAAUGGGCGAAAGCCUGAUCCAGCAAUGCCGCGUGAGUGAUGAAGGCCCUAGGGUUGUAAAGCUCUUUUACCCGGGAUGAUAAUGACAGUACCGGGAGAAUAAGCCCCGGCUAACUCCGUGCCAGCAGCCGCCGUAA